rnacentral:rRNA from 1 species
GUUGAACGCUGGCGGCAUGCCUAACACAUGCAAGUCGAGCGAGCGGCGGACUGGUGUGUGAUGUAUGGGGACUGCCUGAUAGAGGGGGAUAACUACUGGAAACGUUGGCUACUACCGCUUACUACCGGAUCACCCUUACGGGAUUAGCUAGUAGGUGGGGUAAAGGCUCAUCUAGGCGUCGAUGUCUAGCUGGUCUGAGAGGAUGAUCAGACACACUGGGACUGAGAUACGGCGCAGACUCCUACGGAGGCAGCAGUGGGAAAUAUUGCACAAUGGGCGCAAGUCUGAUGCAGCAAUGCCGCGUGAGUGAAGAAGGCCUUAGGGUGGUAAAGUACUGUCAGCGGGGAGGCGUUACCCGCAGAAAAAGCACCGGCUAACUCCGUGCCAGCAGCCGCGGUAAUUC